UCGCCUGUUUUACAAAAACAUGUCCUAUAGAUUUUAUUUUAGGUCUGACCUGCCCGGUGAUAAAUUUAACGGCCGCAGAAUUUUAACUGUGCAAAGGUAGCAUAAUCAUUAGUCUUUUAAUUGAAGGCUUGUAUGAAUGGUUGGACGAGGUACUUUCUGUUUCAUUUAUAAUUUUUAGAAUUUUAUUUUUUAGUUAAAAAGCUAAAAUUUUUUUAAAAGACGAGAAGACCCUAUAGAUCUUUAUAAAUAUAUACUAUAUUAGUUUUUUUGGUUAUUUAUUUUACAUUAUAAUAUAAUUUAUUUCGUUGGGGUGAUGUAGAUAUUUAAUUAACUUUCUAUUAGGUUUUACAUUUAUUUAUGGAAUGAUUUUUGAUCCUGUUUUAUAGAUUAUAAAAUUAAGUUACCUUAGGGAUAACAGCGUAAUUUUUCUGGAGAGUUCAUAUCGAUAGAAGAGAUUGCGACCUCGAUGUUGGAUUAAGAUAUAUUAUUGGGCGCAGCCGUUAAUUGUUAAGUCUGUUCGACUUUUAAAUUCUUACAUGAUCUGAGUUCAAACCGGAGA
rnacentral:rRNA from 1 species